rnacentral:rRNA from 1 species
AAUCAACGCUGGCGGCGUGCCUCAGACAUGCAAGUCGAACGAUUAAAGCUCUCUUCGGAGAGUGCAUAAAGUGGCGCACGGGUGAGUAACACGUAAGUAAUCUACCUUCGAGUGGGGAAUAACGUCCGGAAACGGACGCUAAUACCGCAUAAUGCAGCGGCACCUAAUGGUGACAGUUGUUAAAGAAUUUAUUCGCUUGAAGAGGAGCUUGCGGCAGAUUAGCUAGUUGGUAAGGUAAUGGCUUACCAAGGCUUCGAUCUGUAACCGGUCUAAGAGGACGGUCGGUCACACUGACACUGAAUAACGGGUCAGACUCCUACGGGAGGCAGCAGUCGGGAAUUUUGGGCAAUGGGCGAAAGCCUGACCCAGCAACGCCGCGUGAAGGAUGAAGUAUUUCGGUAUGUAAACUUCGAAAGAAUGGGAAGAAUCAAUGACGGUACCAUUUAUAAGGUCCGGCUAACUACGUGCCAGCAGCCGCCGCCG